GUGAGGAAUAUUGCGCAAUGGAGGCAACUCUGACGCAGCCAUGCCGCGUGCAGGAAGAAGGCGCUACGCGUUGUAAACUGCUUUUAACCGGGAAGAAACCCCAGGACGUGUCCUGGGUUGACGGUACCGGAGGAAUAAGCACCGGCUAACUUCGUGCCAGCAGCCGCGGUAAUACGAAGGGUGCAAGCGUUAUCCGGAUUCAUUGGGUUUAAAGGGUGAGUAGGCGGAGCGUUAAGUCAGUGGUGAAAUCCUGCAGCUUAACUGUAGACUUGCCAUUGAUACUGGCGCUCUUGAGUGCGCUUGAAGUGGGCGGAAUGUGCCGUGUAGCGGUGAAAUGCUUAGAUAUGGCACAGAACACCAAUUGCGAAGGCAGCUCACUAAGGCGAUACUGACGCUGAGGCACGAAAGCGUGGGGAUCGAACAGGAUUAGAAACCCGAGUAGUCC
rnacentral:rRNA from 1 species